rnacentral:lncRNA from 1 species
CUCCUCAGUCAAUUUGAUUUCCUGUUUUGUCCUUUCUCUUUUUAUAAAUGUUGAAUAAGAAAUAGUCUUACCUCUAAUCUCAAGGAGAAGGGUCUCCAACAAUAAUUGAUCAUUAAUUGAAAAAUCAAUAUCUAAAUUAUCAAUACUAUGUAAAGCAUCCCCUCUAUGGACUGGCAUUUUAUAUUGCUCAACUGUGUUAGUAAUUUGUUGUUUUAUUAGUUUUACAUAUUCAGGAUC